rnacentral:rRNA from 1 species
GACGAACGCUGGCGGCGUGCCUAAUACAUGCAAGUUGAGCGAUGAAGAUUGGUGCUUGCACCAAUUUGAAGAGCAGCGAACGGGUGAGUAACGCGUGGGGAAUCUGCCUUUGAGCGGGGGACAACAUUUGGAAACGAAUGCUAAUACCGCAUAACAACUUUAAACAUAAGUUUUAAGUUUGAAAGAUGCAAUUGCAUCACUCAAAGAUGAUCCCGCGUUGUAUUAGCUAGUUGGUGAGGUAAAGGCUCACCAAGGCGAUGAUACAUAGCCGACCUGAGAGGGUGAUCGGCCACAUUGGGACUGAGACACGGCCCAAACUCCUACGGGAGGCAGCAGUAGGGAAUCUUCGGCAAUGGACGAAAGUCUGACCGAGCAACGCCGCGUGAGUGAAGAAGGUUUUCGGAUCGUAAAACUCUGUUGGUAGAGAAGAACGUUGGUGAGAGUGGAAAGCUCAUCAAGUGACGGUAACUACACAGAAAGGGACGGCUAACUACGUG